CUAGUGUUCAAGAUACUUCAAGAAGGCACAAGCAAUUUAUAAAAAUUAUAGUGUGCCUAAACACGUAUCUAUUGUUACCCAGCACAAUAGAACGCUGUUUUUUCAGAACUUCUGUCUGUGCUUUGUACAUUCUUCUCUUGAAUGGUCGGUCCUUACAUAUCAGAAGUAUAUUCAAUACGGGUUUCCUGCACGAAAAAUACCGAAUUCUCUUUAAGCCGCAUAAUCUUGAUCUCCAAUAGAACCGGGAGACCGAAAACAAUCAUAAACUCCAAUGCCCUCUUCUAUAAAUUUUGAGUACAACGUAGAAAUGACAACCAAAAAUUCAGAAAACAGAACAGAAUCAUCCGUCGCCGUUAAUUCGGAGGCUUCGUGCAGCGGAAUAUCUAAUCAAGCAGAAAUCCUGCACUCCAGGGCUAAUGCAGAGGAUAACCAUUUUGUCAAUAUCGGAUACGAAAAUUGGCUUUCUGCAAACCGAGAAUGGACUAAGAACACAUAUAAUUCUAGAAGAAAGUUUAAUGAAAAAAAAAACCGCUCUCGAAUUAGCACCAAUCCACCUUAUCAUAACUUAAACGGCAUCCCUCUUACUGAGGCGAUAAAAGUAGUUAUCCAUGUUUGGGAGAAAGAGGACAAUUGAAACACACAAACUACUAAAAGUCAUUUGUGUUUCUUAUAACGCUCCUAAAUACGUCAAAUGAUGCAUGCAAAUCUGAUGUAAAACGUGAUGAAAUGUAUUGCACAAUAGCAU